AUAUGAAAGCGGGCUGGGACCUCACUUCGGUGCGGGCUCCAGCUUGUCUGAAUUAUUCACCCAUGUCUUUUGCGCACUUCUUGUUUCCUGGGCGGGUUCGCCCGCCACCAGGACCAAACCAUAAACCUUUUUGUAAUUGCAAUCAGCGUCAGUAAACAAUGUAAUUAUUACAACUUUCAACAACGGAUCUCUUGGUUCUGGCAUCGAUGAAGAACGCAGCGAAAUGCGAUACGUAGUGUGAAUUGCAGAAUUCAGUGAAUCAUCGAAUCUUUGAACGCACAUUGCGCCCUUUGGUAUUCCAAAGGGCAUGCCUGUUCGAGCGUCAUUUGUACCCUCAAGCUUUGCUUGGUGUUGGGCGUCUUUGUCUCUCACGAGACUCGCCUUAAAAUGAUUGGCAGCCGACCUACUGGUUUCGGAGCGCAGCACAAUUCUUGCACUUUGA
rnacentral:misc_RNA from 1 species